GGGCGCAUGGUUUAGUGGUAUAAUACUCCCUUAGCAUCUAUUUGAUCAAGAUUGGGAGUGGUCCUGGGUUCGAUUCCCAGUGUGUCCA